AUUGAACGCUGGCGGCAUGCCUUACACAUGCAAGUCGAACGGUAACAGGUUAAGCUGACGAGUGGCGAACGGGUGAGUAAUGUAUCGGAACGUGCCCAGUUGUGGGGGAUAACUACUUGAAAGAGUGGCUAAUACCGCAAGCGACCUGAGGGUGAAAGCGGGGGAUCGCAAGACCUCGCGCAAUUGGAGCGGCCGAUAUCAGAUUAGGUAGUUGGUGGGGUAAAGGCCCCCCCAGCCAACGAUCUGUAGCUGGUUUGAGAGGACGACCAGCCCCCCUGGGACUGAGACCCGGCCCAGACUCCUUCGGGAGGCAGCAGUGGGGAAUUUUGGACAAUGGGCGCAAGCCUGAUCCAGCCAUGCCGCGUGCGGGAAGAAGGCCUUCGGGUUGUAAACCGCUUUUGUCAGGGAAGAAAUUUUUUGGGCUAAUACCCUGGGAGGAUGACGGUACAUGGAGAAUAAGCCCCGGCUAACUACGUG
rnacentral:rRNA from 1 species